GGAUUAGAUACCCUGGUAGUCCACGCCGUAAACGCUGUCUACUAGCUGUAUGCGGAUUCAUUUCUGUGUGUAGCGAAGCUAACGCGCUAAGUAGACCGCCUGGGGAGUACGGCCGCAAGGUUAAAACUCAAAUGAAUUGACGGGGGCCCGCACAAGCGGUGGAGCAUGUGGUUUAAUUCGAUGCAACGCGAAGAACCUUACCUACUCUUGACAUCCAGAGAACUUAGCAGAGAUGCUUUGGUGCCUUCGGGAGCUCUGAGACAGGUGCUGCAUGGCUGUCGUCAGCUCGUGUUG
rnacentral:rRNA from 1 species